rnacentral:rRNA from 1 species
UACGGAGGGUGCAAGCGUUAUCCGGAUUCACUGGGCUUAAAGGGUGCGUAGGUGGGCAGGUAAGUCAGUGGUGAAAUCUCCGAGCUUAACUCGGAAACUGCCGUUGAUACUAUUUGUCCUGAAUAUUGUGGAGGUAAGCGGAAUAUGUCAUGUAGCGGUGAAAUGCUUAGAUAUGACAUAGAACACCAAUUGCGAAGGCAGCUUACUACACAACGAUUGACGCUGAGGCACGAAAGCGUGGGGAUCAAACAGG